UGCUUUCUUAAAAGUAUGUUAGAUGCAUUUAUGAUUUUUAUUUCAAACGCUUCGCAAAAGAAGCACUUUAUUUCCGUUUUCUUUCCUUCUCUCUCUUUUUUUUUAUUUCAGAAGAUAAUUCUCCUAACUCUCCUAGCCGAAUAAUUUUCGGGCAUCCUUAGGCUUUCUCACGCUGAUUCAGUAUGAGGGAGGUAUGUUGUCGAGUGCGAGACUUGCACGUUCACAAAUCAAACAAGUGUAAAGAGGCAGCAGGAGAAUGAUUCGCUGCACAUUCACGCCGCCGCGCGUCCUGUCGCCCCUCGUCAAACACCAUCGGGUUCGACGCGCGCGGACGGAAGAUCCUUAUCUCGAAUCAAAGAUGCAAAAUCUUCGUUCAAGAGGCGAGGAAGGCCUUUUCUCAGAUUGUGAUCCUCAACUUUAUCAAAGAUUGUUGAUCGAUUUCUUGAUGGGAAAUAGUUGACUUGUGCAUUUACGUUAAAAGAAAGAUUAUUCUUUUUGAAGAAGAUUAUGUUCCUGAACAAUCAAAAGAAAGAAAAGAGAAGUAGAGAAAAAAAAAGAGUGAGAGAGACAUAUUGAAAAACAGAUGAUGAUUCUAGCAAAGAUUUGAAGUCAUUUGCACUUCGUCAAGAGUUAAGUCAAGAGUUAGGUUUGUCUCAAUUUGUCCCUCUCAUUGAAGUAAAUGUACCUUCCAAGCGCAAUUUACGAGAGAAAACGAUGUCUUUUACAGGAUAAAACUACUUGAACAGAGAAACAAGACGACAAAUCAAAAUUCACUUAUGCCAUUUAUUAUUCAAAUAGAAUCCAA